GACGAACGCUGGCGGCGUGCUUAACACAUGCAAGUCGAACGGAAAGGCCUCUUUCGGGGGGUACUCGAGUGGCGAACAGGUGAGUAACACGUGAGUAACCUGCCCUUGACUUUGGGAUAACUUCAGGAAACUGGGGCUAAUACCGGAUAGGAGCUCCUGCUGCAUGGUGGGGGUUGGAAAGUUUCGGCGGUUGGGGAUGGACUCGCGGCUUAUCAGCUUGUUGGUGGGGUAGUGGCUUACCAAGGCUUUGACGGGUAGCCGGCCUGAGAGGGUGACCGGCCACAUUGGGACUGAGAGACGGCCCAGACUCCUACGGGAGGCAGCAGUGGGGAAUAUUGCACAAGGGGUGGAAGCCUGAUGCAGCAACGCCGUGUGCGGGAUGACGGCCUUCGGGUUGUAAACCGCUUUCGCUCAUGACGAAGCUUUGUGUGACGGUAGUGGGUAAAGAAGCACCGGCUAACUACGUG
rnacentral:rRNA from 1 species